UGAACGCUGGCGGCAUGGAUUAGGCAUGCAAGUCGAACGUGAAGCUUUAGCUUGCUAAAGUGGAAAGUGGCGCAAGGGUGAGUAACACGUGAGUAAUCUGCCCCCGACUUCGGGAUAGCCCCGGGAAACUGGGAUUAAUACCGAAUGUGGUUUGUCCUGCACAUGCAGGGCUCUACUAAAGAUUGAGUUCGGUCGGGGAUGAGCUCGCGGCCCAUUAGCUUGUUGGUAAGGUAACGGCUUACCAAGGCUACGACGGGUAGGUGGUCUGAGAGGAUGGUCACCCACACUGGGACUGAGACACUGCCCAGACUCCUACGGGAGGCUGCAGUCGAGAAUCUUCCGCAAUGGGCGAAAGCCUGACGGAGCAAUGCCGCGUGAGGGAUGAAGGCCUUCGGGUUGUAAACCUCUGUCAGAGGGGACGAAAUUUGACGGUACCCUCAGAGGAAGCCACGGCUAACUAC
rnacentral:rRNA from 1 species